rnacentral:lncRNA from 1 species
GAGAUUGGUAGCGUAGCUCGACUCAUCAUGGAACGAACCAUAUCUAACAAGGUUCGAUUACGCCUCUCAGCCACACCAUUCAACUGUGGUGUCCUGGGAGGUGUCAAUUGUGAGACUAUCCCACAUUCCCUUAGAUAGUCGAGGAACUCUGAACUAAGAUACUCACCACCACGAUCGGAUCGAAGCAUCUUAAUGUUCCUGCCCAAUUGAUUCUCGACUUCCUGUUUAAAUUCCUUAAACCUCUUGAAAGUCUCUGACUUAUGCUUGAUUAAGUAGACAUAUCCAUAUCUACUGUAAUCAUCAGUAAAAGUCAAAUAAUAACAAUUAGCAUCCCUUGUGGUAUGUUUGAAUGGUCCACACACAUCCGUGUGUAUAAGGUCCAACAAACCUUCACCCCUCUCACACGAGCCUGUGAAGGGUGACUUUGUCAUUUUUCCAAGUAAGCAUGAUUCACAACUAUCAUCUGACUUUAGGUCAAAUGACUCCAAGACUCCAUCCUUUUGGAGUUGGCCUAUGCAUUUCUUGCUUAUAUGUCCAAGACGACAGUGCCAUAAUGAUGCUUUAUCCAAGUUAUUAUCAUUAACAGAAUCAAUACACAAUACAUUAUUUCCUAAGUUAUCAACCACAGAUACAGUUUCAUACACACCAUCAUAAGGUAAUGCUUUAAAAUAAAGAACAUUAUGAAAGAAACCAUUAAUCGAACCAACUUCAUUAUCAAAUGAAAAGGUAAAACCUUGUUUGUACAAUGCAUGAAAGGAAAUAAUAUUUCUUGCCAUUUCUAGUGAAGAACAACAUUUAUUCAAAUCUAAAUUAAACCCACUGCUUAGCGAUAAAGUUUAAACUCCAAUAUUGGUGACAGGUAAAGUUUUCAUAUUUCCCAUGAUUAAGUUUAUUCUUCCAUGCUCCACAUUCUCACUUCUUCGUAGCCCCUGCAAAUCAGAACAGAUAUGAAUACCACAACCGGUAUCAAGGACCCAAGAGUAAGAAUGGGGUGAGUUAUUAGAUAAGAUAGUGUAGAUACCUGCAUGGUUGGGUUUAACUUUCCCAUCCUUCACAUCUUGUUGGUACUUUAAGCAGUUCCACUUCCAAUGUGACUUUUCAUGGCAAUAGAAACAUUCAACCUCUUUUGGGUCAGAAGAAGGAGUGACGAAACAUUUCUUAGUUCCACUUGAAGAAGAGCCACCAAGGGUCCUAGCCUUGGUACCCUUCAAAGAGCUCUUCCUCUUCUUCCCUCGACCUUUCCCGAUUGCCAAAACCGGGGCGGAGUUUGGAGUAGGAGUGUUGACAACCGACUUACCCUUAAGACCUGUUUCUGCACUCUUGAGAAGUCCCUGANACUGUAUCUCGUUGUCCAUUGCCUCUUUCCACUUGGCUGACUUAGGGACUGCCAUGGCUUCCGUGUAACUAUUAGGAUCAUCCAUACCUAUCAAUGUCCCAUCACUGAUAAGUGUAUCACCUUUCGCGGUAAUAUGGAAUCCAUAGUAAUGCUCAGGUGCAUUCCUAACUCUCGUGGAACGCCUCAUAGGUACAGACUUGUCAAUUGGCUCAACAGGAGUUUCCUCCUCAAGUUGAGUGCUUGGGUUUGAAGUUCCUUCACCACUUGACUCUUGAAUUUCUUCAUGGUCAACUUUCCUCCCACUAUUUCCUUGGCUUAUGAACUCUCUCUCUCGGAAGAUAGCCCUCCUAGAUACAAACACCACAUUUUCACUAGGACUGUAGAAGAGGUAACCAAAGGAUUUUUGUGGGUAGCCGAUGAAAAUACACCUCUCACUUUGAGGUUCGAGCUUAUCAUGAGUCUCGUGUCUCACGAAAGCCUCGCAACCCCAAAUCUUGAUAUGGUCUAGUUUGGGUACUUUACCAGUCCACAUCUCAUGAGGAGUUUUGGCAACUUUCUGUGUAGGGACUAGAUUAAGGAUAUGGGCGGCAGUCUCUAAGGCAUAACCCCAAAAUGAGAUUGGUAGCGAAGCUCGGCUCAUCAUGGAACGAACCAUAUCCUACAAGGUUCGAUUAUUCCUCUCAGCUACAUCAUUUAACUGAGGUGUCCUGGGAGGUUUCAAUUGUGAGACUAUCCCACAUUCCCUUAGAUAGUCAAGGAACUCUGAACUAAGAUACUCACCACCACGAUCGGAUAGAAGCAUCUUAAUGUUCCUGCCCAAUUGAUUCUCGACUUCCUGUUUAAAUUCCUUAAACCUUUCGAAAGUCUCUGACUUAUGCUUGAUUAAGUAGACAUAUCCAUAUCUACUGUAAUCAUCAGUAAAAGUCAAAUAAUAACGAUUAGCAUCCCUUGUGGUAUGUUUGAAUGGUCCACACACAUCCGUGUGUAUAAGGUCCAACAAACCUUCACCCCUCUCACACGAGCCUGUGAAGGGUGACUUUGUCAUUUUUCCAAGUAAGCAUGAUUCACAACUAUCAUCUGACUUUAGGUCAAAUGACUCCAAGACUCCAUCCUUUUGGAGUUGGCCUAUGCAUUUCUUGCUUAUAUGUCCAAGACGACAGUGCCAUAAUGAUGCUUUAUCCAA